rnacentral:rRNA from 1 species
AUUGAACGCUGGCGGCAGGCCUAACACAUGCAAGUCGAACGGUAACAGGAAGAAGCUUGCUUCUUUGCUGACGAGUGGCGGACGGGUGAGUAAUGUCUGGGAAACUGCCUGAUGGAGGGGGAUAACUACUGGAAACGGUAGCUAAUACCGCAUAACGUCGCAAGACCAAAGAGGGGGACCUUCGGGCCUCUUGCCAUCGGAUGUGCCCAGAUGGGAUUAGCUAGUAGGUGGGGUAACGGCUCACCUAGGCGACGAUCCCUAGCUGGUCUGAGAGGAUGACCAGCCACACUGGAACUGAGACACGGUCCAGACUCCUACGGGAGGCAGCAGUGGGGAAUAUUGCACAAUGGGCGCAAGCCUGAUGCAGCCAUGUCGCGUGUAUGAAGAAGGCCUUCGGGUUGUAAAGUACUUUCAGCGGGGAGGAAGGGAGUAAAGUUAAUACCUUUGCUCAUUGACGUUACCCGCAGAAGAAGCACCGGCUAACUCCGUG